rnacentral:rRNA from 1 species
CCUACGGGUGGCUGCAGUGAGGAAUAUUGGUCAAUGGACGCAAGUCUGAACCAGCCAUGCCGCGUGGAGGAUGAAGGCCUUCUGGGUUGUAAACUUCUUUUAUUGGGGAAGAAAAGCACGGUUUCUACUGUGUCCGACGGUACCCAAGGAAUAAGCACCGGCUAACUCCGUGCCAGCAGCCGCGGUAAUACGGAGGGUGCAAGCGUUAUCCGGAUUCACUGGGUUUAAAGGGUGUGUAGGCGGGCUGUUAAGUCAGUGGUGAAAUCUCAAGGCUC